rnacentral:rRNA from 2 species
UACGUAGGGUGCGAGCGUUGUCCGGAAUUAUUGGGCGUAAAGGGCUCGUAGGCGGUUUGUCGCGUCGGGAGUGAAAACACCGGGCUUAACUCGGUGCUUGCUUUCGAUACGGGCAGACUAGAGGCAUGCAGGGGAGAACGGAAUUCCUGGUGUAGCGGUGAAAUGCGCAGAUAUCAGGAGGAACACCGGUGGCGAAGGCGGUUCUCUGGGCAUGUCCUGACGCUGAGGAGCGAAAGUGUGGGGAGCGAACAGG